CGCAGGGGGAAAGGGGGGGGAGGAGAAGGAGGAGGAGGCCGUCGCGGGCCCAGGUGAAUGGAGGAACCUGACAGUUGGGGGGAGCAAGGCGGCGGCAGCGGGGAAAUGGCGGUGGCGGCGGCAGCACAAUGAGACGCGGCCUGUAGUGGGGUGCAGCGCCGGGCCGGGUCCGUCCGAGCAGGUUACCUAGGGUGAAACAAAAUUACAGGCUUGGAAACUCUGGAAAAGCUCAGCAUCAGUAUUUGAGAGCCGAAGCCUGCAAAUUAUGUGAUUAACCUACAAGCUGAUAUCAUGAUGUCAAAAUGCAGUUUGGAAAGCAUAAGCACAGAGGCUGCAGAGAUUAAAACGGUUAAUGUUUCAUGUAGUACUUGGAUAUGAUUUAUUGUAAGGAAUGCAAUAUUCAGACUCUUCAGGUGUUCGUGUAGAAGAAUAUUCAAGCAGCAAGUUUUGAUUCCUAUUUUCAUGUAUGGAUCAUGGUUUGUUUACUUUCAAGUGAUUUUUCCCAUCUUUUCAGAGGCUAAUUUCUCUAUUCUAAUGCUAACAGGGAUUUUAGAGAAUAAAAUAGAAAUUCCUAGGCAACAAUUUGAACCUGCAGCAUGAGAAAUAGUUCUGGUAUCAAGACUGUAUCAGAUAGAAACUCAGACAUCACAGUUAGAGAUCUGGAGGAAAGCAGAGGAAAUAUAUUACAUUUCACAGUAGUAAUUUUUUGUUGUUGUUGUUAAUAGGAAGUAUAGUUUUGCAAUAACUUGCUAUAAGUACAGAACAUAUUAAGCAUGCAGGUAGCAGUUGAAAACCCAAAGAUGUGUUCCAAGAACUCCAGUCUGUUUUCUGCUUACUUCAGAGUCUCAUUCAGUAAAAGUUUUUAACAGCCCUUGGAGCAGGGUUAGAUCCAGGAUGUCCUAUUUCAGGUGAGUGCCCUACUUGGUUUGGCUUGUGUUCCUUAAUGCACUAAAACCUGACUUUUUUUGUGUGCCAAGGGACUCUUUUAACUUGGAUAUGGUCCUGUAGCUGAAAAACCUGCACCACUCUUCCAGAAUUAUUCUAGCCUGAAAAAAGCUUCUAUAAAAUUUUCAUUCCCAACCUUGUACCUAUUUGAAGUAUGUCUUUAAAUGAUAGAAUAAGGCUUUAGGUUUACCUGAAGCUUGCAGUUCAGUGUGUUGAUGUGAACAGGCAUUAAUUAAAAUAAGGUCAUCAAGUUGUGGAUUUUGCUAUUAAGAUUUUGAGGUUUGUGGCCACAAUUUGAACUUUGUAGAGCUACUGUGCUGCUUUGUCCCCCUUCUUCUAACUCACUGUAGGGCCGCAGGAAGCAGGACUUCUGUUUUCUGUAUCUUUCCUUCCAAAUUUGUCUUCAGCAAGUUUUCAGUUUCUGAUUGUCUCGGUAUCUAAAAUGACACAAUGGAUAAAAGUGGAACAUCACAGCAUAUAUCUUUGUUAUUCACACUGGCAGAGCAGGACUAUUUUUUUUUUCUGCUUCCCACUUAGCUAGUUACAGAGUUCAGUUAACUUCUGUCCACAAAUUCUGAAAGCAUGCACUUACAUCUCAACUGUUUCCAAUUUAAAACCUGUUCUUCAAGUAGAUGUUUUUUUUCCCCUUUUUAUUUCUAGAUGGUCUUGCACUGCUUUUCUUGUAUUGCAGAACUUGAUAUUUUUCCUUGCAAUUGAAAUAGAGACUUAAAAUGUAUAAUUACUUCAUUAUUGUGGCAUAAUGAUGUUGACAUUGAUCUUGUCAAAUCUUAUAUACUUAGAAUAGAAAUAAUACAAAUGAAGGCCAGGACUAGGGAAAUCCUUAGCACAGCAGGAAGCAGCAUUGAUAGUUUAGGGAGGUGGACUUCUUACCUCAACUGUGGUUUAGAGUGUGUGAUGUUUCACAGGCUCUUCCAGAGCAAGCUGAACCUGUGUAUAAGUGUGAAUCUCUGUGCUCCUUAUGAUAAGGUAGCUAAACCUACUAUCAUUGUCAUGGAGUCAUAUGCAGAAGAUAAUGUUAGCUUCUUUGUGAGUGUUAGCUCAUGCAUUUGGUUGUGAGGGAGAUGGUCUCAGAGAGUGCUUGUGUUUGCAAAGUUGUGUUUAUGGUUUGGAAAAGAAAAACUUAAGUGGAAUAACAAAGAGAAGGCACAGCUGAUCCAAAAUGCUCUGUAAAAUUGAAGUGACUGGGAGUAAAUAUAAAAAUGAUUGGGCAGUUACCCUUAGAAACAUAAUAUGUAUUAUACUUUACCUGGUCCAUCCCAGCCUUGAGCAACUAUAAUGGCUGCAACCAGGUCUCCUUUAAAAAAAAAAAAAAAAAAAAAAAAAACUAUCCUUGCACAUCAAUUGCUGUAUAUAAGUAGGAAAACUGCCGAGGCAAUUUCAGUGAAAUGAAGACUUCUGUGUUCUCCAAACAAAUCUGUGUGUUUCCAGAUAGCAUGACACUGAUUUGAUUAUAAAGAAGCUAGAGAUAUUAGAGCAGAGCCUUGUCUAUUACCUUGUGUGAAGGAGAGAACCUUUCAAUGGGUUUCUCUGACUGUCAUGCACUUAAGCUGCCUGUUCAUACAAAAGCUUUAUGUUACUGCCCAGAGCUCUCAGGUGCUUUCGAUUGGUGGCUGAAAACAAUUGUAUCCCAAUGAAGUCCUUUGUGUGUGACUGAUACAAUUGUAUUAAUUACAUGAUGAUUAACAUGAGUACAUUUGUGCAAAUGCUUAGUAGAUCAGGAUGUCAAGAAUUAUCACCUUUACUACACACAACUGUAUAUAGCACAUGCACUUGUUUUUUUACCACUUGUCUUACUUGACAUAGAACUACGCAAACUUCAGUGAAAGAACAGCCAUCGAGCUGCUAGUUCCAAACGGGGAGUCAACCAAAACAUUUUCUGGUCUGACUGGAUUUAGACACCGUGUAGAGUUACUAAUUGUUAGAACAGAACCUAUGUGUUCUUGUAUGCAGUUUGAAAUGUAUAAAAGCGAUUUUAGAAUCUCCAGGACUCUUCUUAUAUUACAUAUGAAAUGAAAAACGAUGUAUUUCUGAUUUUGUGAUGUGUGUAGCCUAUGUUGUUUUGUAUUUGCAACUAAAUAAAGCAAUUUUUUUUCUUUUAAUUUAAAGAAUCUAAAAGGACUCAGACUAAAACAAUAACUUAAGUAACAGGACUGAGAAAGUAAAUGAGUAGUACUUGUAAGAUUUGCAUGAGUUAGGAGGUUCAUUCAAAAGUAACUGGAGAAAUCAGCUAGAAUCUCAAAAGCAUUCUUUAAUACAUCCUUUGAAAAACAAAAUGCUUUUUCUUAAACUUCUGAAUAUAUCAGUUCUUUCUGGUAUCUUCUCACCCUGACAGUUUCUCUGUAGCUGAAAUUAAAAUAUAAGACUAUAUUCCUGCAAUAUUAAUGUGCUUCUUUUGGUGAAGAUUUUUUUUUUUUUAGUAGAGAAAGAAGAGUGUUGAUUGCUGAGUCAAAGAUGAAGUUUACCCUCUUUCACUUAGUAGCAUUUUUCUGAAUGUUUGUCUUCAGAACAGUGAUAACUCAUUAUAGUGCAAUGGUAUGAUGUUACCUCAACUCAACCAUAAUGUUCUUGAAUAGUCUUCCACUCUUUUGGGGAAAGAGGGGGGAAAAAAAAAAGAAAAAGAAAACUUCUUACUCUGACUAAUGUCCUAGGGGAGUGAUCAUGUAAUUCAAUGUAAUUGAAUUCUCUUUGUCUCAAGCAAGAGACAAAAUAUAUUUGAAGUGGAAAACUGAGAGCUUCUUAUGGUUACUUAAUGUUAGUUAAGUUAGCUUAUACAUCAGUGUUUAGAGGUUCAAACUGUAAAAUUUAACUUGGAAAUGUGAAUAUACAAGGAAGAGCUACAGUGUUAUAUUAAUUGAACUCAUAAAUAAAAGAGAACUCCGUCUUGAUUGAGAGAGAAAUGAGUAUUUUUUCCCUUUUUACUUCAACUGCUUCGUACUUGCCAAGCACUUCUUUUAUAACAUUUGCUGUCCAAUAGUUUCUAUUAUAUACCAUAUCAUACUUGUCUCAAAAUUCUUUCCCAGUGCACGAUUGCAAGACUUAAUUUUCCCAUAGUAUAGAACAGUAGGAACAUUUCUGUACAAUAGGGUUAUAAUUCAUUCAGUCCUAUGGGAAAAGAAGAAUAGAUUAUGCAUUGAUAAUUCCUGAAAAAAUGAAACGUUUCUAAAAUAGCCAGUAAUGAGGACUUCAUAGGGAGCUGUUUUCUAGUACAUAAUUGUCAUCAAAUUGUUUGUUCUUUAGCGUAUCUUUCUGGAAACUGGUGGUUUAUCUGUCAGGGGACCUAUUUUCCAUUAGCUCCUAUCAUCAUCAUCAUCUGUAAUUAUUAGAUUUCUGCUUAUUUUUCUGCCAAUUCUGAUCAAGUUAUCUGUUUAAUUGAAAACAUGUUCUUUUGAAGCUCCUGUUCUUUUUCCUUUUGGUUAGAGUAAAGUCCCUGUUCCGUGCAUUUAUGUGUAUGUACAUCUUUGGUUUUAAGAGUUCUUACUUGAAAAUACGAAAGGUGGUAGAUUUACUUAUUACCUAUGAUUUGAAAAUCUUUUUUCUUUCCUGAAGUAAAGUUAAAGCAGCUUUAUAUUUUUAAUUUGUUAUUCAAGAAACUUUAAAAGGAGGUUUGCUAGAAUGCCAAGGGAACUUUGUCCUGAAAUGUCCAAGUGCCUAGAAUCAACUUUGCCCAU
ensembl:lncRNA